GACGAACGCUAGCGGCGUGCUUAACACAUGCAAGUCGAACGGAAAGGCCCUGCUUUUGUGGGGCGCUCGAGUGGCGAACGGGUGAGUAACACGUGAGUAACCUGCCCUUGACUUUGGGAUAACUUCAGGAAACUGGGGCUAAUACCGGAUAGGAGCUCCUGCUGCAUGGUGGGGGUUGGAAAGUUUCGGCGGUUGGGGAUGGACUCGCGGCUUAUCAGCUUGUUGGUGGGGUAGUGGCUUACCAAGGCUUUGACGGGUAGCCGGCCUGAGAGGGUGACCGGCCACAUUGGGACUGAGAUACGGCCCAGACUCCUACGGGAGGCAGCAGUGGGGAAUAUUGCACAAUGGGCGGAAGCCUGAUGCAGCAACGCCGCGUGCGGGAUGACGGCCUUCGGGUUGUAAACCGCUUUCGCCUGUGACGAAGCGUGAGUGACGGUAAUGGGUAAAGAAGCACCGGCUAACUACGUG
rnacentral:rRNA from 1 species